rnacentral:piRNA from 1 species
UAGCCUGCCCAAACCUAUCUAAUGCUUUAC